rnacentral:lncRNA from 1 species
ACGAGGCUCAGGCAGGACCAAGAGUGGGUCAAGAACACAGAGGAUCAGUGGUGUGAAAAGCACAGAGAUCCCGAGCUUUCCAAAGCACUGGGUGCCUCAUGCUCACGCGCCACAGGCGUAGGAGCCUCUCUAGGACAAGCCCCGUGGUGUCUGAAGAAAGGGCUGGGGUGGAAUUGGAAUUUAGGAAGAUCACUUCUGAUAGUGAUGUGCAGAGAUUAGGCCGGGGAGCCCAAGCCCAGACGUAAGGACAUCAGGAAAAGGCCUUGUAAGAGUCUGAGCAAAAGAUGGUGAAAGCCCGGCCAGGGAUAGCCAUGAUGGGAAAGGAGGGAUAGAGGAUGGACCAGGAAAUCAGGAAGAUGACUUCUGCCACGGUACAGAUCAGCCCAGAUAGAAUUGGAGGACACCAGGGAAAACACUAACCAAGCUACAGAUAGAAGGCUAAGUCCCUCUCAAGAGCCACUCAAAGUACAGGUUUCUUGUCGAGUAACACGCAAACCGGAAGUGCACUGAGUGUAGCAUCUUCUCAAAGCGAGCACACCUGUGUGAGCAGCUGCAUCCUCCAAAGCCCUCCAUCUGCCCCCUCUGUUCGCUGAUGCCCUGAACCCCAAAAAGUUUGGAACUAGGGAGCUUCCUGUAUCGGAAGCUUCCAACCCCUCACAGCUCCUCACCCCCAAGCCUUCUUUAGCUCACUAAGCUGCUUUGGUUCAUCUGUUCUUCCGUCUGGUUGUCAUCCUUUGAAUGAACUUGUUUGGAGAGCUCAUGUGCCCUACGCUGUACGCAGGGGGCAGGGAGAGAAUGCAAAGGCAAGCGACACCAGACUUCGAGCUAAAAAGACAGGCAUGCCCAAGGGCAGUUGGCAAACAGUCCGGUGACCGUAAUGACGGAGUGGUGUGGAGUUUGGGUGGAGAGGGUGUGUGCUUGAACAGUCAGGCGGCAGCACUUAGGAAAAUAAUUGGAACUGUGUGGGCGAGAUCAGCAGGACUUCCAAGUCGGAUGCGAUGGAAGAGCGAGAACUGGCUUUCUCUUUGUUACAUUAUGGACUUCUGUGGAUGAACUUGGUCGCUCACAGCUGAUUGUCAGCGGAAAAGCUGUAGCCCUUGCUUUCAAGAGACCCUAACAAAUCAGAUCAACAGUGCCUCAGCUGAACAGUAGAGGGCGCUGAAGACUUGUGCUUGACGCUAAAAUUACGCACCCCCUCCAGCACGCUACCCCCCACCCACCCACCCCCCCACACACACAAAUUUCAUGAAAGUUCGCUGAAAAUAGAUAAGGAUGUAGAGUGUACGGAGCAUGGUCAGAGUCACACAACUCCUCAGGAGCAGAGGGAGCCUGGUCGCCCAAGUUCAUUCAAGUCACUCAGUACUGCUCUCAACUUUCCCAAAAUCUCAGUGCCUAAAAUCCAGGUGCUUCACGCACCUUUUUGUUUUAAUUUCCUUCUCUCCUUUUCUUUAAGAGAUAGUGAAGGGACAAUGAGCCAUGGUGUAGAGGUGUAUGUAUAAAUGUCUUGCAAAUGGUGUAUGAUUGGCCUGUGCGUUCCUUUCCUUCCUGCCUCUGAAUGAAGUCGGUGGCUCAAAACAUGGGUGUCUUGGUUUGAGUGUAAGUUCUGCCUCUUCUUGGUGUGAUCCUAGAUCCAUAUUUCCAAGUCUUUGAAGCCCCUGACUGUAAAGCCUGCUGCUGUUCAUGUCCAUACCUCCGAGACUGUCUGUAAAACGGAGAGAACUGAUGUAAACUUGUUCCAAACAGUCUCCAGCAAGGAGCAGGUAGGUGCUCCAUCGAACUGUAUCCCUGUCGGCUGUAUCCGUCCUCCUGGUCCUUUGUACCAAGUCCC